rnacentral:rRNA from 1 species
GGAUGAACGCUAGCGGGAGGCCUAACACAUGCAAGCCGAGCGGUAGAGUUCCUUCGGGAACUUGAGAGCGGCGUACGGGUGMGKAACACGUGUGCAACCUGCCUUUAUCUGGGAGAUAGCCCUCCGAAAGGGGGAUUAAUAUUCCAUAAUAUAUCAWUUGGCAUCAAUUGAUAUUGAAAGCUCCGGCGGAUAGAGAUGGGCACGCGCAAGAUUAGAUAGUUGGUGAGGUAACGGCUCACCAAGUCURCGAUCUUUAGGGGGCCUGAGAGGGUGAUCCCCCACACUGGUACUGAGACACGGACCAGACUCCUACGGGAGGCAGCAGUGAGGAAUAUUGGACAAUGGGUGCAAGCCUGAUCCAGCCAUCCCGCGUGAAGGAUUAAGGUCCUAUGGAUUGUAAACUUCUUUUAUACAGGGAUAAACCUACUUACGUGUAAGUAGCUGAAGGUACUGUAUGAAUAAGCACCGGCUAACUCCGU